rnacentral:ncRNA from 1 species
UCUUAUCAAGAGAGGUGGAGGGGCAGGCCCAGCGAAACCUCGGCAACAGGUUAACCAUAUACACUGUGCCAAUUCCUGCGGGACAGCAUAUAUUUUAGUAAUGGAACCCGAGAGAUAAG